rnacentral:tRNA from 1 species
AUCGGUGUGGUCUAGUGGUUAGGAUAGAGCACUCUAAAUGCUCUGGCCCGGGUUCAAAUCCCGGCACCGAUA